GACGAACGCUGGCGGCGUGCCUAAUACAUGCAAGUAGAACGCUGAAGGAGGAGCUUGCUUCUCUGGAUGAGUUGCGAACGGGUGAGUAACGCGUAGGUAACCUGCCUGGUAGCGGGGGAUAACUAUUGGAAACGAUAGCUAAUACCGCAUAAUAUUGACUGUUGCAUGAUAGUCAGUUGAAAGGUGCAAUUGCACCACUACCAGAUGGCCCUGCGUUGUAUUAGCUAGUUGUGGGGUAACGGCCCACCAAGGCGACGAUACAUAGCCGACCUGAGAGGGUGAGCGGCCCCGCUGGGAUGGGGACACGGCCCAGACUCCUACGGGAGGCAGCAGUAGGGAAUCUUCGGCAAUGGACGGAAGUCUGACCGAGCAACGCCGCGUGAGUUAAGAAGGGUCUCGGAUCGUAAAGCUCUGUUGUAAGGGAAGAACGAGUGUGAGAGUUGAAAGCUCACACUGUGACGGUAGCUUAUCAGAAAGGGACGGCUAACUACGUG
rnacentral:rRNA from 1 species